rnacentral:rRNA from 1 species
UACGGAAGGCAGCAGUGGGGAAUAUUGCACAAUGGGCGCAAGCCUGAUGCAGCCAUGCCGCGUGUAUGAAGAAGGCCUUCGGGUUGUAAAGUACUUUCAGCGGGGAGGAAGGCGAUGCGGUUAAUAACCGCGUCGAUUGACGUUACCCGCAGAAGAAGCACCGGCUAACUCCGUGCCAGCAGCCGCGGUAAUACGGAGGGUGCAAGCGUUAAUCGGAAUUACUGGGCGUAAAGCGCACGCAGGCGGUCUGUUAAGUCAGAUGUGAAAUCCCCGGGCUUAACCUGGGAACUGCAUUUUGAAACUGGCAGGCUUGAGUCUUGUAGAGGGGGUAGAAUUCCAGGUGUAGCGGUGAAAUGCGUAGAGAUCUGGAGGAAUACCGGUGGCGAAGGCGGCCCCUGGGACAAAGCUGACGCUCAGGUGCGAAAGCGUGGGGAGCAAACAGGAUUAGAUACC